GACGAACGCUGGCGGCGUGCCUAAUACAUGCAAGUAGAACGCACAGUUUAUACCGUAGCUUGCUACACCAUAGACUGUGAGUUGCGAACGGGUGAUUAACGCGUAGCUAACCUGCCUGGGAGCGGGGGAUAACUAUUGGAAACGAUAGCUAAUACCGCAUAAUAUUAAUUAUUGCAUGAUAAUUAAUUGAAAGGUGCAAUUGCACCACUACCAGAUGGACCUGCGUUGUAUUAGCUAGUAGGUGAGGUAACGGCUCACCUAGGCGACGAUACAUAGCCGACCUGAGAGGGUGAUCGGCCAAACUGGGACUGAGACACGGCCCAGAAUCCUACGGGAGGCAGCAGUAGGGAAUCUUCGGCAAUGGACGAAAGGCUGACCGAGCAACGACGCGUGAGUGAAGAAGGUUUUCGGAUCGUAAAGCUCUGUUGUAAGAGAAGAACGGGUGUGAGAGUGAAAAGUUCACACUGUGACGGUAUCUUACCAGAAAGGGACGGCUAACUACGUG
rnacentral:rRNA from 1 species